rnacentral:rRNA from 1 species
GGCGAACGCUGGCGGCGUGCUUAACACAUGCAAGUCGAGCGGUAAGGCCCUUUCGGGGGUACGACGAGCGGCGAACGGGUGAGUAACACGUGGGUGACCUGCCCUCAGCUCUGGGAUAAGCCUGGGAAACCGGGUACUAAUACCGGAUAUGACUCCAUGACGCAUGUUGUGGGGUGGAAAGCCUUGUGCGGCUGAGGAUGGGCCCGCGGCCUAUCAGCUUGUUGGUGGGGUGAUGGCCUACCAAGGCGACGACGGGUAGCCGGCCUGAGAGGGCGACCGGCCACACUGGGACUGGGACACGGCCCAGACUCCUACGGGAGGCAGCAGUGGGGAAUCUUGCGCAAUGGGCGAAAGCCUGACGCAGCGACGCCGCGUGA